rnacentral:tRNA from 1 species
GCAAGCAUGGCGGAAUGGUAGACGCGAAAGCUUCAAAAGCUUUUCGUCCUAAAGAUGGUGUAGGUUCAAGUCCUACUGCUUGUA